rnacentral:lncRNA from 1 species
GCGGGGGCGAGGGCGGGCAAUUAUUUCUCACAUUCAUGUUUUUCCGCCAAGACUUUGAAGUGACUGUCAGCCUGUGACGAGUGAGCAGGGAGAGAUGGACAGCGACGGAAUGGAGCGUGAUGCUGAGGAUGAUGAAGGUGCGGUGAAGGGCAAGUGACCUUAACUGCGGUGGCAGCAGGGUACAGGAGACACCCU